CGGAAAUGAAGGAAUACAGCCCAGAAACUUGGGAAUACAGCCCAGAAAUGCGGGAAUAUGGCCAGGAAAUGUGGGAAUACAUCAUGGAAAUGCUGGAAUAUGGCCAGGUAAUAUAGCCCAGAAAUAGGAGUAUACGGAUGGGAAAUGAGGGUAUACAGCCUGGAAAUGCGGGAAUACGGCCGGGAGAAGUGGGAAUACUGCCCAGAAAUGCAGGAAUAUGGCUGGGAAAAGCAGGAAUACAGCCCAGAAAUCCAGGAAUACCACCCAGAAAUGAGGGAAUGCGAGCAGGAAACAUGAGAAUACGGCCCGGAAAUGUGGAAAUAUGGCCCUGAAAUGCAGGAAUACAGCCCGGAAAAGCGGGAAUACAGCCCGGAAAAGCGGGAAUACAGCCCGGAAAAGCGGGAAUACAGCCCGGAAAAGCGGGAAUACAGCCCGGAAAAGUGGGAAUACCGACCUCGUCACGCUUUUUGGAGCCCAGGAAGUGUCGGGCCACGUGCUCGGGCAGCAUGUUGGCCACCAGCGCCUCGUUCCAGCGGCGCAUCUCGGAGACGCGCUCCUUCUGCUCGUGCACGUCGAUCUUCCAGAGGAACAGCGUCCGCGCCAGCUUCUCCACCUGGGAAUCGGGAAUUGGGAAUGUGGGAAUGGGGGAAUGAGAGAAAAGGGUCAGCUUCUCCACCUGGGAGCGGGGAAAAGGGAAUUGGGAAUGGGGGAACGGGGGAACAGCAUCCGCGCCAGCUUCUUCACCUGGGAAUUGGGAAUCCGGAAUACGGGAAUGGGGGAACAGGAUUUGGGAAUUGGGGAAUGUGGGAACGGGGUCCUGGCCAGCUUCUCCACCUGGGAACACGGGAAUUGGGAAAUCAGGGAAGAGGUUUGAGAAUGUGGGAAUGUGGGAACAGGGUCUGGACCAGCUCCUCCACCUGGGAAUGGGGAACUGGGAAUGGGAUUUGGGAAUGUGGGGAAAGGGUCAGGGCCAGCUUCUCCACCUGGGAAUUGGGAAUUGGGGAACGGGGUUUGGGAACACGGGAAUGUGGCAACAGCGUCCGUGCCAGCUUCUCCACCUGGGAAUGGGGAACUGGGAAUGGGAGAACAGGGUUUGGGAAUUUGGAUAUGUGGGAAUGGGGUUUGGAAAUGUGGGAAUUCCUGGCCGGCUUUUCCACCUGGGAAUGGGAUUUGGGAAUUGUGGGAAAAGGGUUUGGGAAUUAUGGGAAAAGGAUCCUGGCCAGCUUCUCCACCUGGGAAUGUGGGAAUUGGGAAUGUGGGGAUGUGGGAAUGUGGGAACAGGGUUUGGGAAUUGUGGGAGUGGGGUUUGAGAACGUGGGAAUGGGAUUUGAGAAUGUGAGAAUUCCUGGCUGGCUUCUCCACCUGGGAAUAUGGGAACUGAGAAUGUAGGAAUGUGGGGAAAGGGGUCCUCGCCAGCUUCUCCACCUGGGAAUGUGGGAACGGGUUUUGGGAAUGUGGGAAUGGGGUUUAGGAAUCUGGGAAUGUGGGAACGGGGUUGGGGAGUGUGAGAAUUCCUGGCCAGCUUCUCUACCUGGGAAUGGGGCUUGGGAAUGUGGGAAUGGGGUUUGGGAAUGUGGAAAUGUGGGAAGGGGGUUUGUGAAUGUGGGACUGUGGGAAAUGGGGUUUGGGAAUGUGGGAAUGGGGCUUGGGAAUUGUGGGAAUUUCCAAUUCUGGGAUGGGAGAGUUGGGAGGAAAGGUUUGGGAGAAGGGGAUGGGAUGGGAUGGGAUGGGAUGGGAUGGGAUGGGAUGGGAUGGGAUGGGAUGGGAUGGGAUGGGAUGGGAUGGGAUGGGAUGGGAUGGGAUGGGAUGGGAUGGGAUGGGAUGGGAUGGGAUGGGAUGGGAUGGGAUGGGAUGGGAUGGGAAAAUGGGAAAAAGGGAAAAUGGGAUCCAUGGGAUGGGAUCAUGGGAUGAGGGUGUUCCCGG
rnacentral:lncRNA from 12 species